rnacentral:rRNA from 1 species
GAUGAACGCUAGCGACAGGCCUAACACAUGCAAGUCGAGGGGCAGCACAUGAGUAGCAAUACGAUGGUGGCGACCGGCGCACGGGUGAGUAACACGUAUGCAACCUGCCUUCUACUAUGGGAUAACCCGUUGAAAGACGGACUAAUACCGUAUAAUACAGGGGCUCCGCAUGGAGAUAUUUGUUAAAGAUUUAUUGGUAGAAGAUGGGCAUGCGUAUGAUUAGAUAGUUGGUGAGGUAACGGCUCACCAAGUCAACGAUCAUUAGGGGUUCUGAGAGGAAGGUCCCCCAACUGGUACUGAGACACGGACCAGACUCCUACGGGAGGCAGCAGUGAGGAAUAUUGGUCAAUGGACGAGAGUCUGAACCAGCCAAGUCGCGUGAAGGAAGACGGUUCUAUGAAUUGUAAACUUCUUUUGUGUCAGGAAUUAAAGUGGGUUACGUAGUAACCUUUUGAUGUACUGUACGAAUAAGGAUCGGCUAACUCCGUGCCAGC